GCCAACCCUGUAUUCGACUGCCAUUAUCAGUCUCCUAUUUACACAGAGCACCAUUAUCAGUCCGGGAAGUCGUUUGUUUGUUGUAUGAGCCCUGAGACGCAGCGGGGAAUAAGCACGGCAGAAAUGAAGUUUCCCUGCGGCAUCAGACUUAAGAAAUACAUUCGUUUUCUUCUCGAAGAGCCGAAGCGCUCGCUUUCACGUGAUUUUCCUUGUCAUUUUUCCAGGAUAGAGAGACGGAGUGACGCUGGCUCUAGCCCGCGUCUUCUCCUGGUACUUGCGCAGCUUAGUGGCACAGCUGGUGACCUAUAACUUAGCACCUGCUACAGGUGACACCUGGCACAGGACGCCUGUGCCACCGCAGACUGGCACCACGUAUGGAUGAUCCCGCCUGCCUGUGUAAUUUCAUCUUAUCAGAAACGUCACUAACAGCCCUAAGUGCCAUCGCCAGUCCUCCUGCCCCAGAGGGACUUUGCCUUCCGUAUCGUCAGUGGCUCCCUACGUUUGCUUUGACGACGACUUGAUCUCCGUUCCUUUGAGCUGCUGCGCAUCGAUCACCAUCGUCGAGGAUAAUCGGUGCAGCCAAGUCUAACUGUAUAGGAAAGGACUGAACCUCGCAGCCGUCAACGAUCACUCCCAGACUUGCAGGAGAUUCCUCCUGGUUCCCUGGUACUGAUGGCUACCGACGACGAAGGGAGCAGCAAGCUGAAGCACGAGGCCAAGGAGGAGAUGAAGAAGCUCGGCAGUAACCUCAUUGACCAGAUUUCUUUCCGCUCAAGCUGGGUCCUCCUGGGUACAAAGGGAGUCCCAGAGCAUCUGAAGAGGGAGACGGUAUGUGAGGACGCACCUCCAUUCUACGUGGCCUGAUUCUUCAGUCUGCUGUCAAUCCUUCUCCUGUGUUUCUGUAGACCAGUGUUUCUCAAACCAGUCCUUGGGGAUCCCUCAGGCGGUCCACAUUUCUGCUCCCUCCCAAGUGCCUGGGAAUAGACCACUGUUGUAGACCACUGUCAUAGUCGGAUGCUGGUAUGAUUCCUCACACACACACACAGCCUCGUUUACUUGUUUAAGGUCAGCAUGCCCUGGAUGGCUGGCUCGUUGGACCUCCAGAGGUUUUUCUCCAGAGGUACCAGCCCUAAAAGUCUGGUUGUCCGCUCCUCUGCUGUCUUCUGAUGUGGGACAAGGCACACAAAUGUUUGUAGACAUACAUCCUUAAAUGCUGAGAUCUUGACAUCCAUGCUGAAAUGUGAAUUCUCUGAGUUUCAGAUGGUCCACAUAACCCAAGAAACGGGCACCUACAACGGCUGGCCCCAUGAGGCGGCGGUCGAAGGGCGCAUCCAGACUUGGGCGUAAAUUACGGGGGGGAUGGGGGGGGUUGUAGAAACCAGCCAAUACAACCCCCCCAAUAAUCAUGUUUCUGCUGUAAUGGGUGGAGACCUCAACCCCCCCAAUGU